rnacentral:rRNA from 1 species
CGCCUGUUUAACAAAAACAUUUCUUUUAGAUUUUUUUAAAGGUAAUUUCUGCCCUAUGGUUUAUUCUAAAUGGCUGCAGUAUUUUGACUGUGCAAAGGUAGCAUAAUAAUUAGCUUUUUAAUUGAAGGCUGGCAUGAAUGGAAAAUUGAGAUACAUAUUUUAUUAAAUAUAAUAUUAAAAUUUAAAUCUUAAGUCAAAAUGCUUAAUUAUAUUCUUGGGACGAUAAGACCCUAUAGAACUUUAUAUAAUUAUUUCUAAUAAUAUUUUUAUAAUAAUAUAUUAUUAAUAAUAACUAUGUUUACUGGGGUGGUAGAUAAAUUUAAACUUUAUUAUUAAAAUUCAUUAUAAGUGUAAUUGAAAAUCUUUAAUAGAAAAAAAAGAAUUAGUUACCUUAGGGAUAACAGCGUAAUUUUAAUGGAAAGUUCAUAUUUAUAUUAUUUUUUGCGACCUCGAUGUUGAAUUAAGGUAAAUUUUAGGAAGCAGCAUUCCUAAUUUUAAGUCUGUUCGACUUUUAAACCCUUACUUGAUCUGAGUUCAGACCGG